AAAUUAAAUCUUACUAUUUGAUUAGAGUGUACAUAUUUAAAAGUAAUAAAAACAUUUUGGGAUAUUAUAUUUCUAGUAGAAUGAAUCGAAAAAAAUUUUUAAGAGUUAUAGAAUAAAGUACUGUAAAGGAAAGAUGAAAUAAACUGAAAAGUUAGUUAAAGAAAAGUAGAGUUAAAUGCUUGUNCCUUGUGUAUUAGGGAAAAUCAAAAUAAGCUUAUUAAGUUAAGUAUUCCCGAAAGAAAAAGAGCUAAUAUAGUCGAACAGUUUUCGUAUUAAUGAAAUUAUAAAGUCUAUAUUAGUAGUGAAACUGCUAGUCGAUUUUUCAUAUCUGGUUGUUGGAGAAUUAAAUUAAAUUUGCUAUUUUAAGGUAAAUAAAGCU
rnacentral:rRNA from 1 species